AACGAACGCUGGCGGCAUGCCUAACACAUGCAAGUCGAACGAGACCUUCGGGUCUAGUGGCGCACGGGUGCGUAACGCGUGGGAACCUGCCCUUAGGUUCGGAAUAACUCACCGAAAGGGGUGCUAAUACCGGAUAAUGUCUUCGGACCAAAGAUUUAUCGCCUUUGGAUGGGCCCGCGUUGGAUUAGCUAGUUGGUAGGGUAAAAGCCUACCAAGGCGACGAUCCAUAGCUGGUCUGAGAGGAUGAUCAGCCACACUGGGACUGAGACACGGCCCAGACUCCUACGGGAGGCAGCAGUGGGGAAUAUUGGACAAUGGGCGAAAGCCUGAUCCAGCAAUGCCGCGUGAGUGAUGAAGGCUUUAGGGUUGUAAAGCUCUUUUACCCGGGAUGAUAAUGACAGUACCGGGAGAAUAAGCUCCGGCUAACUCCGUG
rnacentral:rRNA from 1 species